UGUUCGAUCUGAGGAACAUGAAAGAAUGAUGUCCUGAUGUGGAUGAAAGUCAACGUGAUUUACUGAACCCUCAUGUCCGGGUAAUACAUAACGUAAAUCGCCUGUGGCUGACCAAACAUAUACGUUUUUAUCAGAGCUACCAGCACCAACGAAUCGUGAAUUACGACUCCAGGCAACACCUAACAAAUUAUGCUCCUGUCCGUGAAUAGCUCCUUCAAAAAUUUGCAACUGUC